CCCAGUUCGAAGGUAGGCCCAAUAACAUUCAACAAUUAGAGCCCAAGCAGCAUCGGAAAGGAGAGCAAAGCCGAAAAGAUUUAGUCAGCAACGAUGUACGGAAAGAUGUGAUGGAAAACGACAAACAGACUAGGGGGAGACUCGAAACGUACUGAUGCUCGACAAAUGUCACAAGAUUAAGCUUCGUGUAAUUACUAUAAAUGAGAGACAUGGAUGUUGUUUAUCGUCUUCUUCAUCCUAAAACCCUAAAGUUUCAACCUUUGCAGUAAAAAAGAAGGAUGGAUUUGUUCACCGGACCUCACGUCACGUCUGAGGCAGGAGUGUUCUGGGACUUAGACGAAUGUGGGAUCCCUGAUGAAAUGACUGCUGCUCAAAGCUUGGAGAUAAUCAGGCAGACUCUGUCGGAUGGUGGCCAUCGUGGUCCUGUUUCGAUCCGGGCUUAUGGUGAUACGACCGGUCUUGACUUUCAAUCCUCCGAUAUCAAACUCAACCAUUUUCAAGCAGGAGAGAAACGUGAGAAGAUGACGAAAGUCUUGGAGGACAUAGUUGCGUGGUCGGGUGAGAAUCCAGAACCAUCGGUGGGGAUGCUAAUGAUUGGAGACUUGGGAGACGCCGAAGAUGACAUCAUCGAGGUUCUGGAUCUUCUCAAGAUUCGGAAAAAUUACAGGUUUAUUAUUGUGACACUACCCCCACCUCCUCCAACGGUGGUGAUUGUGAUGGCGGAUCUUCCUCGUGGUGGCUGAUUAACAUUUUCAUUAAAAAUAAAAUGGUAGUUUGCAUUUAGUAAAUGUUGGAUAAUCAAAAUCCUCUUUUGGAAACUUUUGUUUUGUCUCGGAAGGAAAAGAUAAUUACUAAUUAGUAGAUGUUUUUAUUUAUAAUCUCUUCUAUUUAUUUAUUUUCUGCCUUCCACAAUGCUAGAAAAUAUAUUCAUUAUUGGAAAAAAAGAGUAGUUUAUUAGUAUGCUAUGCUUUGUCGAAAAUAAAUAAGAGCAAUAGAAAGGUUUCACAUGUAAGAGUUGCAAAAUCACACGCCAAUUUUGUCUUGUCUAGUCAAGAAGUAGAACUUACAUUCACUUCUCAUAAUCAUUUUACAAUAUACAUGUAUGUAUGUAUGGUACAUCUAAAGCAAGCUGCCAAUGCAAACAAGCUGGACUCUCAUCUUUAGAUAAUGGGUUUAAUAGUUUAAGUGGCCUUUCUACUGGAGCCACUAAAAAUGGAUCAUCGUCCUCAUACGUUAUCAAAAGAGAAGUCGGCCCAGUUAGAAUGUAAGCCCAAUAAGAUUCAACAAUCAAAGCCCAAGCUGCAAGAGCUCUUUCUUUCCAGAGAAGCAAAGAAGGAGAUAAGAGCAAAGCCAAAAGCGAAACAAUGUACGGGAAGUUAUGAUGGAAGAGGAGAAGAGACUUGGGGGAGACUGGGAUCGCAUCACUCGAAACGUACUGAUGCUCGACAAAUGUCACAAGAUUAAGCUUCGUGUAGUUGCUAUAAAUGAGAGAGAGACGUCGUCGUCGUUCAUCCUCAAAAAAAAAACCUAAAGUUUCAACCUUUGCUAGUCAAAAAGAAAAAACAAAACCAUGGCUUCGUACAGCGAACCUUACGUCUCGAAUGGGACAGGAGUCUUCUGGGACAUGGACGAAUGCAAGAUCCCUGAGGGACGCACCGAAGCUGACCUCGUACCGUUUAUUAGACAGAUGCUGUUGGAUGUUGGUCUACGCGGGCCCGUUUCGAUCCGGAUCUAUGGUGAUUUGACCGGCCUUGACUUUCAAGCCUCGGAGGAUGUUAAGCUGAAUCAGUUCCACGCAGGAGAGAAACGUGAGAAGAUGACGAAGAUAUUGGAGGACAUAGUUGCGUGGUCAGGUGAGAAUCCGGAACCAUCGUUGGGAGUACUAGUCUUGGGACACUUGGGAGCCGCAGAUGAUGCUGACAUCACCGAGGUUACUGAGCUUCUCAAGACUCAGAAGAACUAUCACUUUGUGUUUGCGACUCCAGGAUCUCCUCCUCCAACGGUUGUGAGGUUUCUCAGGGCUAUUCCUCGUGGUGGACUCUAGUUCUUUUUUUGGUUUGAAUAACAUUUUCAAUAAAGGACAAAAGUAAUUUCUAGUUAAUGUUGGAUAAUCAAAAGAUGAUUAUGUUAUGUCUCGGAAGCAAAAGAUGAUUAUCGAUCAGAUGUUUUAUUUUACAA